AAUAUACCAGACAACUACAUCUGUUUUACCACACAUUAAAGCAAGACUUCCGCUGUUUGUUCCAGACCAUGAAUCUGUCUGAAGAGAGCUGGUGGAGGAGCUGAGAAGCUGUAAGACGAUUAGGAAUUUACCAACAAGGAUUCCUCACGUUGGGGCCAGAUUUGAGCUGUUUGUUCCAGACCAGGACUCUGGCUGAGGAGCGCUGAUGGAGGAGCCAAGACUCUGGAGGACGACAUCACUCUAUCAACAAGGAUCCUCGUUAGUUUGCAUAAAAGCCAAAUUACGUUUGUAACCAGACCAGGAAUCUGGAGG